GACGGAAGGUGCAAGCGUUGCUCGGAAUCAGCUGGGCGUAAAGGGUGCGUAGGCGGCGUUGGUGGGUCUGGUGGUGAAAGCCCCGGGCUCAGCCCGGGAAGGGCACUAGAACUGCCGAGCUGGAGUGCCGGAGGGGAGAGUGGAAUUCCUGGUGUAGCGGUGAAAUGCGUAGAUAUCAGGAGGAAUACCGGUGGCGAAAGCGACUCUCUGGACGGACAACUGGACG
rnacentral:rRNA from 1 species